AACGAACGCUGGCGGCAGGCUUAACACAUGCAAGUCGAACGAGAUCUUCGGAUCUAGUGGCAGACGGGUGAGGAACACGUGGGAACAUCCCUUUCAGUUCGGAAUAACGUUGGGAACUAACGCUAAUACCGGAUACGUCCUUCGGGAGAAAGAUUUAUCGCUGAAAGAUUGGCCCGCGUCUGAUUAGCUAGUUGGUGAGGUAAUGGCUCACCAAGGCUACGAUCAGUAGCUGAUCUGAGAGGAUGAUCAGCCACAUUGGGACUGAGACACGGCCCAAACUCCUACGGGAGGCAGCAGUGGGGAAUAUUGGACAAUGGGCGCAAGCCUGAUCCAGCCAUGCCGCGUGAGUGAUGACGGCCUUCGGGUUGUAAAGCUCUUUUGUCCGGGAAGAUAAUGACUGUACCGGAAGAAUAAGCCCCGGCAAACUUCGUGCCAGCCGCCGCGGUAAAAC
rnacentral:rRNA from 1 species